GUGUCCAUUGCCAUUCUUCACAACACGUGUUGUGUCCGUGACCAAUCUAAUCAACACAAACAGACUUUACACACCUGGAUACGUGUACUAUAAGGAGUUGACUAUUGGAUAUACAGGAUAGUGUAUUGUCCAUAGCCAUUACAAACAACACAUCAGGAAGCUGUUUUAUCAUAACAGAAAUGAAUGAAAAAAGAAUGGCAAGAUUUUGCCGAAAG